UUCAUCUUUCUAUUCUUCCUCCUCUACUGCCUUUAUCUUAAAUGCUUAAACUUCAUCCUCUUCCUUUCCUCCAUUAAACUUCCACCUUUUCCUUGUGUUUCCAGUUUAUUUCUUUUUAUUUUUACAUAUAUAUAAUAUGUAUAUAUUAAUAAAUAUAUAGUUCGUAAUUGCAAUUUGUGGCUACUGAAGCAGUCGUCUAUUAGAUCUGGGUUUUCUUCGAGUUUAAGAAUUGAGGUUGUUGAGAGAAGACUUUGUACAUGUAGGAAGGUAGAAGAGGCGAGAACGGUAAAAAAUGGUCCAAAAUUGGGAAUGAAGAUCUGGUUGUCCAUUGAUACCCUAUACGAGAUGAUUAGGUGGUUUAACGGGAGUAAUAUUGUGGAAACUCUCCAACAUCAACUUUUGAGGUUGAGAAAAAAAAUCAAAGAUGUUAAGAUACAUAAACUGCAUUAGAAGAAGGAUAAUUUGGAGAUGAAAAACGAGCUUCACGAAAUGCGUAUCGAGGUCCUGAAGUGUACAAGGAACGAGAAAACCUUCUUGGCCCUGUAUGGUGUCUAGUAUUUUAGACUACAUUGUAUCUGCAAUAUUGCAAUUUCAUACUUGAGAUAAUUUGUUACCAUUUGUUUUCUUAUUAUUCGAAUAACAAUUUGCCUA